GGGUCUUCUGCAAGAACAACCAGUGUUCUUAACCACUGUGCCAUCUCUCAAGCCCCCACAAUAAAAUCUUAAUACUAUGAAUGUCAGCUCUCCAAGCAACACAAGAAAAUCCAUGGGAAGAUAAGUACAGUAUCACAUUGGAAGUGAACUUUCACCAAUCUCAGUCCUUAAAUAAUGACUCCUUGUAGUGCAAUGCCAUUCCCAAACCAUGAAGAGGUCUCCCUUGUGUAACAGAGGCCUGUCCAGCCUAGACACCUGGCUGCCUCGCAGACACUGCAUUUCAGCAGGGAGAUGGGAUAGACAUGCUCUUCUUGAUAUCCCUGAGAGCACCCAGCCCAGCCACAGCACCCGACGUGCGCUGGAACAAGUCUCCAGAACCUCCACCAUCACCUUCUUCACUUUCCUGGACACAGCCGUAAACAGGCUUCUACCAAAGUCUUCCCAGU